rnacentral:rRNA from 1 species
GAUGAACGCUAGCGGCAGGCUUAAUACAUGCAAGUCGAGGGGCAGCACGAAUAGCAAUAUUUGGUGGCGACCGGCGCACGGGUGCGUAACACGUAUACAACCUACCUAUAACAGGGGGAUAGCCUUUCGAAAGAGAGAUUAAUACCCCGUAAUAAAUUGAAUGGCAUCAUUUGAUUUUGAAAGCUACGGCGGUUAUAGAUGGGUAUGCGUCUGAUUAGCUAGUUGGUGAGGUAAUGGCUCACCAAGGCGACGAUCAGUAGGGGAUCUGAGAGGACUAACCCCCACACUGGUACUGAGACACGGACCAGACUCCUACGGGAGCAGCAGUAAGGAAUAUUGGUCAAUGGAGGCAACUCUGAACCAGCCAUGCCGCGUGCAGGAUGACGGCCCUAUGGGUUGUAAACUGCUUUUGUACCAGAGAAAACCUACUCACGUGUGAGUAGCUGAUAGUAUGGUAAGAAUAAGCAUCGGCUAACUUCGUGCCAG